rnacentral:rRNA from 1 species
GUCUACAAUCAUGCUACUCUGAACAAGCCCGAUCCCGUCUGAUCUCGGAAACUAAGCAGGGUCGGGCCUGGUUAGUACUUGGAUGGGAGACCACCUAGGAAGACCAGGUGCUGUAGGCA